rnacentral:rRNA from 1 species
UACGUAGGGUGCAAGCGUUGUCCGGAAUUAUUGGGCGUAAAGAGCUCGUAGGCGGUCUGUCGCGUCUGCUGUGAAAACUCGGGGCUUAACCCCGGGCCUGCAGUGGGUACGGGCAGACUAGAGUGCGGUAGGGGAGACUGGAAUUCCUGGUGUAGCGGUGAAAUGCGCAGAUAUCAGGAGGAACACCGGUGGCGAAGGCGGGUCUCUGGGACGGUACUGACGCUGAGACGCGAAAAGCGUGGGGGAGCGAACAGGG